GCACACAUAGACGGGUGCACAAACACACGCGCUUGUAGAGGGAGGGGUAAAAGGAGGGAGGUGGCCACGGGAAGCGCUGCCCAAGGUCUUGAAGCGGGGACAGGGAGGUGUGCUACACCUAACGCCACUGGGUAUAUGGGAAACUGAGACAGCCCGAGUACAGCGAGCAGGGAGAGGGCGAGAGACGAAUCUGACCCAAGGAAGCUUCAGCGACUGUCCUUCCCCAACACCACCUCGGACAGGCAAGCCGGUCCAAAGUACAGCCGAACAUACUAUGGAACAGGAGAAAUAUUUACCCGAACUGAUGGCCGAGAAAGAUACCUUGGAUUCCUCCUUUGUUCAUGCAAUGCGCCUUUUGGCUGAAGAAAUUGAAAAGUUCCAGAGUUCUGAUGAGAAAAAGGAGGAUGAAGAGAAAAAAUACCUUGAUGUCAUCAGCAACAAAAAUAUAAAGCUGUCAGAAAGAGUAUUGAUUCCUGUCAAACAAUAUCCAAAGUUUAAUUUUGUGGGCAAAUUGCUUGGUCCAAGAGGAAAUUCCUUGAAAAGGUUACAAGAGGAAACAGGAGCAAAAAUGUCGAUCCUGGGGAAAGGUUCUAUGAGAGACAAAGCUAAGGAAGAAGAACUGAGGAAAAGUGGGGAAGCCAAGUAUGCACACUUGAGUGAUGAACUACAUGUAUUAAUUGAAGUGUUUGCCCCACCCGGGGAAGCUUAUUCACGGAUGAGUCAUGCCUUGGAAGAAAUUAAAAAAUUUCUCGUUCCAGAUUAUAAUGAUGAAAUCCGUCAAGAGCAAUUGAGAGAAUUAUCAUAUUUAAAUGGUUCAGAAGAUUCAACCCGGGGACGAGGCAUGCGAGGAAGAGGGAUUCGGGUUCCUCCUGCAGCUCCUUCAAGGGGACGUGGGAGUGCAAUUCCUCCACCACCACCUGGACGAGGAGCUCAAGUACCAAGAGGAACCCCUGUGACACGUGGAGUGCUCCCAGUCCCUUCUGUAGCCAGGGGUGUCCCAACCUCUCGAGCGAGAGGAGUUCCAGUAGUACCAGGUUACAGACCACCCCCUCCCCCAGCACAUGAACCCUAUGAAGAAUAUGGAUAUGAUGAUGGAUAUGGGGGUGAAUAUGAUGAACCACUUUAUGAGGCCUAUGAUAAUAGCUAUACCACACAAACACAGAGUCUGCCUGAGUAUUAUGACUAUGGUCAUGGAACAAGUGAAGAUGCUUAUGACAGCUACGCACAAGAAGAGUGGGCCAUAAGCCGUCCCAGCCUAAAAGCGCCACCUCCCAGAUCAACCAGAGGGGGUUACAGGGAACACCCCUAUGGUAGAUAUUGAAGGUCCUCCUCAUCUGUGACCUCAACCUUAAAGACAAUUAAUAACCCGUGAUCUCCACAUAAACAGCAGCAAGACAAAGAUCCAAACACAUUGGACAGCAAAUCAGCAGACAGUUACAUAGUAACCAGGUAUUCCUCUAUGGAGGAAAAAUAUUACGCUGCAAUUGGCCUAUGAAAAAUAUCUAAGUGGGACUUUCAGUCUUUCUUCCUCUGUGCAAUACACUGUAUAGCAGUAAAUAAGGAAGAUUAAUUCCUCAAGAGAAAGGAUCAUUACUGUUUCCAGUGGAAUGGACAGUGUGUGUUACACAAAAAGCAGACCUUUAAUUUAACAGUACAAGGACGAAGCAAGGUGCGACUGAUGGUGUGGCCAACACAGCACUACAAUCUUCACCAGUCAGCUAUCAUUUCACAAUAGGCAAACUGUGACUUGAGAAUGACUGAAAACAGCAAGCAAAUGUUGAUUGCUAAAACG